rnacentral:snoRNA from 1 species
GCUGCUAAACUUAUCCCUACAGAUGUGGCCACCGAGCCACACUGGUGACAGCAGGGCAGAAAAAGUGGCUAUUUCUACACUCAGUGCUCAAAACUGUGGGUGCUAAGAAUGGUUAGUAGCCUCACAUU